rnacentral:rRNA from 7 species
GGAUCCCAUCAGAACUCCGAAGUUAAGCGUGCUUGGGCGAGAGUAGUACUAGGAUGGGUGACCUCCUGGGAAGUCCUCGUGUUGCACCU